rnacentral:lncRNA from 1 species
AUAGUAGAGUAAGAUUAAAUCUAAGCGACGGCUGUUAAACCGUAGGACAAGAGUAGACUGACCGGCGCGGAACCCCUGCGUUAGCAAAUUCCGUGCCGGCAGUAGGACGUGAGCCGUAACAACGAUACGGCAAAGUGACAAACGAACUGACUGACGGGGACUCACAAAACAGACAUGUAAUAAAUAGGACAGUAGAGCAAGGGCGACGGGAGCGGAGAUGUGGGGCCGACAGGCCGGCGAGGAGCAUGCGAGUGCAAGCCCCGAGCCGACAGUAGGUCAAACCACGGGACAGGCGAGGGAGGCUAUGACAACAAGCCGGCCACAGGGACGAGGUGAAGUAAUGCGAAAGCGGUUCCGCCUCGUCCUGGGUGAUGAGCGGCGGAGGGGUUUUAGCCGGUACAAAUCCGGCACUAUCCGAAGACACCAACUUGAACUUCCGGAUGUUUUUUUGAAGAUUUUCCAUUCGCCGCUAAUAGAAAAAAAAAGGGGGAAAAAAAACCAGUAGGGUAGGGUAGGGUAGGGUAGGGUGACAAAGAAGAGAAACCAAAUACAAAAUAGUAAUAGCCCUUUGCCGCAGCAUAGAACCAUACAAGAUUCCUAGGUGGGCAAUCUUGGAUUUACGAGCAAAGUCUGAUUAGUACUUUGUCAAUCUUGUUCGACCUAUGAGAUACGUUUCUAACCAGAGUAAAAUAUAUUGACAAUUUACAGUAUUUCACGACAGUGAUACCUUAUCACAUGGACAGUGGCCCACCUGAUAAUCAAGCUUUACAAGUCCUCAUUAAGAUAUUGAAGGCUAUUAAUGAGGAUAGUCCAACGGUGCCCACAUUAUUAACGGACUACAUAUUGAAAGUUCUGUGCCCCACCUAGGGAUCCACUAGUACAUAUCCUCCGACGUGACAUCGCUGUGCU